AGUUUGAUCCUGGCUCAGAUUGAACGCUGGCGGCAUGCUUUACACAUGCAAGUCGAACGGCAGCGGCGGGCUUCGGCCUGGCGGCGAGUGGCGAACGGGUGAGUAAUAUAUCGGAACGUACCCAAGAGUGGGGAUAACGUAGCGAAAGUUACGCUAAUACCGCAUACGAUCUAAGGAUGAAAGCAGGGGAUCGCAAGACCUUGUGCUCCUGGAGCGGCCGAUAUCUGAUUAGCUAGUUGGUGGGGUAAAGGCCCACCAAGGCAACGAUCAGUAGCUGGUCUGAGAGGACGACCAGCCACACUGGAACUGAGACACGGUCCAGACUCCUACGGGAGGCAGCAGUGGGGAAUUUUGGACAAUGGGGGCAACCCUGAUCCAGCAAUGCCGCGUGAGUGAAGAAGGCCUUCGGGUUGUAAAGCUCUUUUGUCAGGGAAGAAACGGUGAGUUCUAAUAAAGCUUGCUAAUGACGGUACCUGAAGAAUAAGCACCGGCUAACUACGUG
rnacentral:rRNA from 1 species